CCCUUAGAUGUUCUGGGCUGCACGCGCGCUACACUGAAGCGUUCAACGAGUAUUCACCUUGCCCGGGAGGGUUGGGUAAUCUUUUGAAAACGCUUCGUGAUGGGGAUAGAUUAUUGAAAUUAUUAAUCUUGAACGAGGAAUUCCUAGUAAACGCAGAUCAUCAAUCUGCAUUGAUUACGUCCCUGCCCUUUGUACACACCGCCCGUCGCACCUACCGAUUGGAUGGUCCGGUGAAGCCUCGGGAUUGUGGUUCUUGCCGCUUUAUUGUGGCGUGACCGCGAGAACUUGUCUAAACCUUAUCAUCUAGAGGAAGGUGAAGUCGUAACA
rnacentral:rRNA from 1 species